rnacentral:rRNA from 1 species
UGCCAGCCGCCGCGGUAAUACAGAGGGUGCAAGCGUUAAUCGGAAUUACUGGGCGUAAAGCGCGCGUAGGUGGAUAAUUAAGUCAGAUGUGAAAUCCCCGGGCUCAACCUGGGAAUUGCAUUUGAUACUGGUUGUCUAGAGUAUGGUAGAGGGAAGUGGAAUUUCCAGUGUAGCGGUGAAAUGCGUAGAUAUUGGAAGGAACAUCAGUGGCGAAGGCGACUUCCUGGACUAAUACUGACACUGAGGUGCGAAAGCGUGGGGAGCGAACAGGAUUAGAUA